rnacentral:rRNA from 1 species
UACGUAGGGGGCAAGCGUUGUUCGGAUUUACUGGGCGUAAAGGGCGCGUAGGCGGCUUAACAAGUCACUUGUGAAAUCUCCGGGCUUAACUCGGAACGGCCAAGUGAAACUGUCAAGCUAGAGUGCAGAAGGGGCAAUCGGAAUUCUUGGUGUAGCGGUGAAAUGCGUAGAUAUCAAGAGGAACACCUGAGGUGAAGACGGGUUGCUGGGCUGACACUGACGCUGAGGCGCGAAAGCCAGGGGAGCAAACGGG